rnacentral:tRNA from 1 species
GGUAGCAUGGCUGAGGGCCAGGCAGCGAGUUGUAGCCUCGUAGAGGGAUCAGGUAGGAGGGUCCUGUUACCA